rnacentral:rRNA from 1 species
UAACUGAAGAGUUUGAUCAUGGCUCAGAUUGAACGCUGGCGGCAGGCUUAACACAUGCAAGUCGAGCGGAGUGAUGGUGCUUGCACUAUCACUUAGCGGCGGACGGGUGAGUAAUGCUUAGGAAUCUGCCUAUUAGUGGGGGACAAC